GGAGAUAGCUCAGUGGUAGAGUGCCUGCUUAGCAUGCAUGAGGUCCUGGGUUCAAGCCCCCAGUACCUCCA
rnacentral:tRNA from 1 species